rnacentral:rRNA from 1 species
UGUCAGCAGCCGCGGUAAUACGGAGGGUGCAAGCGUUAUCCGGAAUCAUUGGGUUUAAAGGGUCCGCAGGCGGACUUAUAAGUCAGUGGUGAAAGCCUACAGCUUAACUGUAGAACUGCCAUUGAUACUGUAAGUCUUGAAUUCGGUCGAAGUGGGCGGAAUGUGUAGUGUAGCGGUGAAAUGCUUAGAUAUUACACAGAACACCGAUAGCGAAGGCAGCUCACUAGGCCUGGAUUGACGCUCAGGGACGAAAGCGUGGGGAUCAAACAGGAUUAGAUACCCUGGUAGUCCACGCCGUAAACUAUGAUUACUCGUUUUCGGCGAUAUACAGUCGGAGACUAAGCGAAAGUGAUAAGUAAUCCACCUGGGGAGUACGAUCGCAAGGUUGAAACUCAAAUAAAUUGACGG